rnacentral:rRNA from 1 species
UACGUAGGGGGCGAGCGUUACCCGGAUUUACUGGGCGUAAAGCGCGUGUAGGCGGCUGGUCAAGCGUGGUGUGAAAUCUCCGGGCUCAACCCGGAAACUGCAUUGCGAACUGACCUAGCUGGAGUGCAGGAGAGGGCAGCGGAAUUCCCGGUGUAGCGGUGAAAUGCGUAGAUAUCAGGAGGAACACCGGUGGCGAAGGCGGGUCUCUGGGCCGAUACUGACGCUGAGGAGCGAAAGCCGUGGGGAGCGAACAGG